UAAAGGAACUCCUUUCAACGCCGCCUUUAUAAUAAACGAACUCCUCCGCAAGCUUCUCCAACCUCCUAUCCUCUUCCCCCGCCUUCCACUCCUCGAAUCUCUUCCCGCAUUUUGCACGGAUCAUCCCCUUCCACUAAUAUACAGACACGCUUCAGAAUACCCGUUUUCUUUUGAACCGCUUUUGUUGCAUCGCCACGGAGGAGUGACCCGAACUCAUCGAGCAGACGGAGAAGUACAUGGACGGUGGAUUCAGAGAUCGUGGUGAUUGACUUGUCCCCGCCUGCCCUGUAAAGGUUCUUCAAUAAUCGACCACCAGAAAUACGCCCUUAGAAACUCCACGAAACGGAUCGGUUUCGGUAUCUCUUUUUAAUGUCUUGAAAGCUAAAACCCAUUUUUUUGGUAAUGUAUUAAUCAGAAUUUAAUUUCAAGAGUUUUAAAUUAUUUGAAAUACUGUGUGAAUCGAGAUGGAAAUGAUGGCAAUAUAAAGUAAAAGGUCUGAGCAGAGUGAGACAACGGUGGUAGUAAUGGAUGCCAAAGUCUGGGGGUGAGAAAAAAGGAGAGGGCCUCUGUCCUUGCUUGAGAUAUUGCAUCGCGACAGCGCAACCUCUCCUACAACAAAUUUACUGCUCUCAAAGCAUGAGUGCUGCGAUGGGUUGAAAGAAAAGGCGUGGGCUGCAUUCUAGCAUUGAAUGCUAACCUAGACUUCUCCCGACAUUUUAAUUUUUGCAUCCCCUUACUUUGCCUAUCCGUCGGCUGCCACCGCGCUUCCUGCAUUGAUCAAAACCUUGAUGCUGAUCCAUACAUUAUCAUUCUCUGUUAAUUAUCUCUUUUAAAUUGUUUUUUUUCCUGUUAAUUCUUUUAUGCUUUGCAUGUAUGAGCACUCAAUUUAUUAAAAAAGUAAUCCAAAUGGACGAGUGUUCUUUUUGGUGGUGGUUGUUGAGUGGUUUCAGGUGUUCCACUCAUGCUUUCAGUCAUUAUGUGUGUGCAAUUUAAAAAAUAACUGAAUGUUGUGGAAACUGCAUUGUGCUAGCUUCAGGAGAAAUCAACAUGCAGGGGUAGAAAAGAAUGCUUGGAGAGAGAAAUGUUCUGUAGGCACAAGAGAUUGGCAAAAAAUGGCCCUUUUUUUGUGGUGCAUUGUUGAGCAAUUCACUUGGAUAUAAUUAAAAGUAUGGAAAAAUGGUGAAUUUUGAUGGAUGUGGGUGAAUGUGGUUGAAUGCGAGGUGGGGAAAAUGGGGCUGCAUUUUUUUCAGAGGAUGGUGUCUAUCCAUUAGUGACCCAUGCUACAUGACAGUUUCUUUGAAUACCACAUUAGUGUUCAUGCUUGCUGUGUUUGCUAAAUUCUUUGUCUGGAUUAUAUACUUGGUUCAUUUUGUUGUUUUAGCCCUUUAAGAUCAUUUUUUUUCUUUUUUUCAAUGAUCAUUUUUCAAUUUUUUUAUAUUGAUUUUUGGUGAUUUUGAACCCAUUCACAGUUCUGUUUUACAUUCUUCCUUGCAUAUUAGCAAAUGCAAAUUCACCACGUUGUCUGAGAGGAAGGCCAAUACGAUGAUUCAUUUGGAAACUGAGGCUCUACUUAGUGGGGGGUUCUGGUGCAUUGUUUUGAACUUGUGACCAGAGUCACGGUGUCACAGGCCAUUUUUGGCAUUAUGUUUAUCAAAAAAGCAAUUUAACUUAGUGCACGCAUAAAAUAGGACAUUUUUACAAUACUUCUAUUGAAAUUCUAAUCAAUUGAAAAUUUUCAGUAGAAUGCUUGCAACAACCUCAAUGGCAAUCAUGAUGGUCGUAUUGACUGAUUCAGUUGUUACAGUUACACAAUGGCUGCUUGUGCUUGGAGCUUGAUUAUAAAAUCAUGAACCUAUAACUCCAGAUAAUAGAAUCUGACCUUUCGUUUCCAUUACCUAAUGGCUGUUGUUUGAUUCCAUUGUUUUUUUAUCUGCUUUCUCACGAGGUUUUGUUUGCUGGUUGUUUCUUCAGGGAUUGCUUUUCUUGCGGGUAGUUUCUUUGAGCUCCUGGUGUAUUCUGUUAUUUUUCAGAUGUAAUUGUUUAAAAAUGGUUUUGCUGAAGUAUUUGAACCAACAACAGAGUUGUGUGAGAGUUUUCACAUCCCAAUUUUGGUUCCCCAAUCCAUGUGUAAUUUUUUGGCAAUGGAGAAGAAACAUUACUGUUGCUUCUGCAUUUGUACUAUCAUCAUCAUCAGCAUCGGUUUGAUCACAAUUGUUUGUGUUUGCUAUGCCAUUUAUCAAUCUGGCAAGCCCUUGUGCCACAAAUCCCUUGAGCCAAUGAAUACUUUGAUGUUUUGGGUUCAGGUGAGCCCAGCAAAGUCGAUUGAAUUUUUUAUGUUUAUAUGAUUAUGCUAUCAUGUUAUUGUAGGGGGGCACGCAGCAGAGAUGAUCAAUGUAUUGACUGUGCUGCAAAAGGAUAUGUUUUUGCCUAGAAUCUAUGUUCCGGCAGCCAUGGAUAAUAUGAGUUUGCAAAAAGCUCGGGUUUCGGAGGACAAUAUGGUUGACAGGGUAGGCCAUUUGUGGUUUAACUUCGUACUGUGUUUGCUUUUGUAGGGUUCAAUUGUUUGAUAUAAUUAUCUAGUUGCUGGUUUGCAUUUUGGAAUUUAUGGCUGACUGAAUUGUUGGCUGUGAGUGUUUGUGAAUAGUUUUAGUUUGAAUUUUGACAAAACAAUGUAAUUGCAAAGGUGAUAGAAAUAAUUAGUCCGCACUUGAAAGUUAUGCUGGCUUAAUGAUGAAUCAUUUUGGAUCCCUGAGUGGCAUGAACUCUUAUUCAUGAACCAAAGUUGAAAAAUUGGAGUAGCUAUCCAAGGAUUACCUCACUUAUGAGUGCUGUCAGCCUACUUGCUAGAUUGAGGAUGGGAAAAAAAUGUAAACAGCUUUUCUUUGAAAUAAUUCCUGGUUUCAUGAAUAAGUUGAAUUUUUGCAAUACUUCUUGUAUGUAAUUCUCCUUGAUUGCCUCUGAUCUAUCAACUUCUUAUACUUAAGCAAUGGUGAGCUUGAUUAUAGAUUCAAGAAGCACAUAUACCUAGGCAUAUAAAUGUGCAAUGGAAUAUAUUGAAGUUCAAGUCAAGUUUGUUUAGAGAGGAUGCAAUGGGUGAAGUUGAACUGGUUUGAUAGCUUACUAUAAUGGAUAUUGUCUGUCAUUUUUUCUUUUUUCCCAGGAUUUCUUUUUUGAUUCCCUGGAGGAUUUCUGAUUCUCACCUGAGACAAAGUUGAUUGCGCAUUUUCUUUUCCUUUAAUUUUUGGCUGAUUUAUUCUGGGUUGCUCAAUUUUGAAUUGGCUAUUAUUGCAGACUGGGUGAAAGGGGGUAUGUGUGCAGUUCUUGAAAGUCUACAGUAUUUCUUGCAUAAAAAUUAUGAUAGGUAAUGUUGAAUUAUUUUGGAUCCAUUAGUGGUGUGAACUUCUAUUGUUCGUGAGCCAAAGUUGAAAUAUUGAACUAUCUGAGUCUCUCAUGAGUUGUGUUGCAAGGUUACCUAUUAGAUUGAGAAAAUAUUGUUUUUCUUUUAAAUCCAAUCCUCGUCUCCAUGAAUAAGUUGAUUUUUCACAUCAGUAGUUGUUUUUGAUUCUUAACUCCAGCUUCCUGCUUAACUCCUGUAGAGGAUAUGAUUUGUUAUUUUUUUCUAUAGCUAGUUUGUGGUUCUGAUUCUCUUUGAGAGUAAGAUCAUAGUACUCUCCUUUGCGCUCUAAAUCUUGUCUGGUUUAUUUUAGAUUGUACAAUUUUGUAGUGGUUUUUAUUGCAGGCAGGGGGCAAGGGGGUCUAUGUGCAAUUCAUGCAAAUCUACAGAAGAAGCAGGGAAGUCGGUCAGUCAUACCUGACCUCUGUUGGGACAACUUUAUUAGCUAUGUCUCAUGCAUUAUGGCUAAUGAUUAGAAUUAGACCUCAAGUGGUUCUUUGCAAUGGCCCUGGGACUUGUGUUACUUAAGAAAGUGUAAAUUAAUUUAUAUUGACUUUGUUUGUCUAAAAUGUCUUAGGUUCUUUGCAAUGGCCCUGGGACUUGUGUUCCUCUGUGUAUAAUUGCAUUCCUAUUCAAGGUGGCAGGGAUUAUUGGUCAUCUGUUUUUUAUGCCGAGAAUAGCAAGGUUGAAAAAGCUCUCUUUAAGUGGUUUGCUUCUUUUCAAGUU